GUGGGUAUAGCUCAGUGGUAAGGUUCAUGCUUAGCAUGCACGGGGUCCUGGGUUCAAUCCCUAGUACUUCCA
rnacentral:tRNA from 1 species